AUUGAACGCUGGCGGCAUGCCUUACACAUGCAAGUCGAACGGUAACAGGUUAAGCUGACGAGUGGCGAACGAGUGAGUAAUGUAUCGGAACGUGCCCAGUCGUGGGGGAUAACUACUCGAAAGAGUGGCUAAUACCGCAUACGACCUGAGGGUGAAAGCGGGGGACCGUAAGGCCUCGCGCGAUUGGAGCGGCCGAUAUCAGAUUAGCUAGUUGGUGGGGUAAAAGCCCACCAAGGCGACGAUCUGUAGCUGGUCUGAGGGGACGACCAGCCACACUGGGACUGAGACACGGCCCAGACUCCUACGGGAGGCAGCAGUGGGGAAUUUUGGACAAUGGACGCAAGUCUGAUCCAGCCAUGCCGCGUGCGGGAAGAAGGCCUUCGGGUUGUAAACCGCUUUUGUCAGGGAAGAAACGAGUUUCUCUAAUACAGAGACUUAAUGACGGUACCUGAAGAAUAAGCACCGGCUAACUACUUGCCAGCCGCCGCCGUAAAAC
rnacentral:rRNA from 1 species